rnacentral:lncRNA from 10 species
GGAUGUGCCUCUGGAAUUACUUUCCUGGAGGGAGUUAACGUCUGUGCUGUGGCUUGGAGGUGGCAGAGGAGAGUGCACACUUCACUUGGAACUCGCUGCAGGAGACUGAGCCAGUUAGAGGCACCAAGGCAUUCUGAGUCCCCAGGGAUCCAGCAAAUGGGAGACAAAUGUCAGGGUGACAAGGUAAUCAUUGGUAUCAGGGUUAUAAUCUCCUAAAGGCCCAGGCACCCCUUGGUCCAGAAGGCAUGGUGUCCCCAGGGACAUUCCCAGGGGUUGGGGGAGGGUGGGCAAGAGUGUUUCCACUCAGCCUGUGGCUUUGAGAGCUGACAGCUGUGGGCAGGGCCUCUUGUGAUGCCCUAUACUCCCAGUCUGGUGGGGAAAAACUACUAACCUCUAGGGGCAGCACCCUGGGGUCAGCCCUGAGGGAACAGUAUGUUAUUAGCAGGAGGGGACUGGUACCCUAAGGUUCUCCGCACUAGGCAAGGAGCAAAGCAUUUGGGGACAGCCAUCUCCUCUUCUACCACACAGUUUAAAUCACAUUUUCCUCUUCUGGGGUAUUUUGAAGCCUAGUGUGAAUAUCUAGAAGUGUCUUUUGUUUUUUUUUUGAGACAGAGUCUUGCUCUGUCACCCAGGCUGGAGUGCAGUGGCACAACCUAGGUUCACGGCAACCUCCGCCUCCCAGGAUCAAGCAAUUCUUCUGCCUCAGCCUCCCGAGUAGCCAGGACUACAGGCUCCUGCCACCACGCCCGGCCAAUUUUUGUAUUUUUUUUAAGUAGAGAUGGGGUUUCAUCAUAUCAGCCAGGCUGGUCUCGAACUCCUGACCUCAGGUGAACCACCUGCCUCGGCCUCCCAAAGUGCUGGAAUUACAGGUGUGAGCCACCGCACCUGGCCUAGAAGUGCUUUUUUGAGACCCUCUGAUGAAAGAUGCAAUAGACGUGCAAACAUGACUAACAACGCUGUGAAUAUUUUAAUGACAACAGCAGAAGAGCCCUGGCUACGCAGGGCUCAGAUGCACAUUUCACCUUCUAAUAUUCCUAAGAGGACUAGUUGAGGGUUAACAGUAAGUGUGCAGGAGUGAGAAGUUGAUUGUGGAGGGGGAAAGGGGGGAAAGAGUUCAGCUAAAUGAAAGACCACCCUACUCUGCUGUCCGGCAGCAGGUAUGAUGCCUGCCCACACUGAGGCGCAAGCCGGACACAGGCUUCCCCUCCAGCACCAGCUACACACGUGACAACUGAUGGCAGCAGGUGGAGCAAGUCUGGACCCAGCCUUCAUACAAGUGAGUUGUUCUAGGUGAGUUGUUCCAAGUGAGUUUUUCCAAGUUACCCAGCCUUCAUGCAAGUGGGCGGGCCGCUGUCCCACCAGCACACAGCUCUAGCUACUGACGGAGGCUUCCCCCCACAGUCCGGCAGCAACACAGUCUGUUAAGUGGUUGACAGGUGCCUGGGUCACACCGGAGCAGGCUACAGCUGGGGAAGGGAGGGUAGGGAGGGGACAGGGUGAUGCAUAUCCAGGCAGGAUUUUUCACCAUCCUGGGACCUGGGAUUUUUCCUGGCAAGAGUAACCAGCUAGUCUGAAUUUAAAGCAGUUUCUUAAUUGCUCCCUAGCAAGAACCAGAGUUGGUAAUAACUACCAGGGAAGUAUAAAUGAUUUUCCAGGUACAAUGCUAAAGGCAACCUCUACAUUUUCUCCUUUAAUCUCCAAAACAAGCCUGUGAGGUAGUGCUGCCACCUCAAUUUUACAGAUAAAGCUCGGAGAGGUUAAAUGACUUGCCCAAGGCAAUACAGCUAAUAAGUGACAAAGCUAGGGCCUGAAUGCAAGAAUUUUAACCGCUGUAUUUCAACUACAAUGCUGUGUGUUCUCCCCUGUGAUCAAAAAGCAAUCAUUGGGGUGCUUAAAUGUUGUUGUUCUCUUGGUUAUUAAAUACCUGAGCCAUGCUGCUGUCAAAGAGAAGGUAGCAAGCUGCUUUUUUCCCAACUAAUGACUCUGUUUUGGUCCAUGCCUCUAAUGGGUCUUAUCCAACAGAGAAGUACUUUUAAGUCAAGAUGUGCACCAAAGUCUGUUUUCCCCACUCUGACCUGUACUUUUUCUUGUCUUUUUUUUUUUUUUUGAGACAGGGUCUCACUCUGUCGUCCAGGCUGGAGUGCAGUGGCAUGUGAUCACAGAGCAAUGUAACCUCAAACUCCUGGGUUCAAUCGAUCCUCCCAUCCCAGCCUCCCAAGUAGCUGGGACUACAGGGAUGCACCACCAUGCCUGGCUAAUUUUUAAAUGUUUUGUAGAGACAUGGGGCAGGCGGCGUGGGGCUGGUCUCCAACUCUUGGCAUCAAGUGACCCUCCAGACUCUGCCUCCCAAAGUGCUGGGAUUAUAGACUUGAGCCACUGCAGCCAGCCUGGCCCACAUAUCUGGUGUCUGUUUGGGACUGUCUCCAGCCUCUCUCCACUUUCCGGCCUGUACUCCAGACUGUGGACAUUAUACAACUUGAAAAACUUAAGUUGGUUGAAAAUCUCCAGCAGCUCCUCACUGCCUCCAGAAUGAAGUCCUCUGGGACAAGAGAAGGCCUUUUAUUGCUAGGCAGCUGCGUCCCUUGCUUGCCCUUCUCUGCCUAGUGGCCCAGGCCAUCCACUCUGUGCCCCGAAUACAUUGCAUGCCUUCAUGCCUUACUGUUCUAGACCUUGCCAGUCCUUCUGCCUGCAGUGGCCUUGGACUCACCACCUUCUUUCUCCAUCUGGCAAACAGCUAUCCUCCAAAGCCCAGUUCAGACAUCACUGCCUCUCCCUCUGCCUCCUGACCCAAAGCAGAAUUUAGUACCUCACUCACCUCACCGCACAUGGCACCUAGUAGACUGGUAUAUUAUACCACUUACUGUCAAUUAUAUUACCUUUUUUUUUUUUUGAGAUGGAGUCUCGCUGUAUAGCCCAGGCUGGAGUGCAGUGGCACAAUCUUAGCUCGCUGCAACCUCUGCCUCUGGGGUUCAAGCAAUUCUCCUGCCUCAGCCUCCUGAGUAGCUGGGACCACAGGCAUGUGCCACCAUGCCCAAUUAAUUUUAGUAAUUUUAGUAAGGAUGGGGUUUCACCAUGUUGGCCAGGCUGGUCUCGAACUCCUGACCUCAGGUGAUCCACCUGCCUCGGCCUCCCAAAAUGCUGGGAUUACAGACGUGAGCCACCACGCCCGGCCUAUAUUACAUUUUUCUAUGCAGCUGGAUCCUGUUUCCCAUUAGAUAGGGCAAGAGCAGAAAUCAUUUCUUACCAUCUCUGUUCCAGAGGCCCUAGUGUAGAGCAAAUGCUCUGUAAGUGUCUGUAGCACAAACAGAUGCAUUCAUGUGCAAAAUAACUCUGCUCACACAGCACCAGAACUGGCAAAGAUCCUAAAGAAAGAAUUCUACCAAUAUGUGGGUAAUUGGGCUAGCUGGCUUCGAAUUCCUUCAAUACACAUAUCCCCAACACAGUCACUUAACAAUGAAACAGUGAACUCAACCAUGUUCCACUGAAGGAUACAAACAGCAUUCUCCGAAAGGGGGCAAACAGCAAUGUGAAAUUUCCAUCACAGCACCUUUUGCUUUUCCCUCUAUUUUUUUUUUUUUUUUUUUGGAGACAGAGUCUCACUCUGUUACCAGGCUGGAGUGCAAUGGCAUGAUCUCGGCUCACUGCAACUUCCGACUCCCUGGUUCAAGCGAUUCUCCUGCCUCGGCUUCCCAAGUAGCUGGGACUACAGGCGCGUAUCACCAUGCCCAGCUAAUCUUUGUAUAUGUAGUAGAGACAGGGUUUCACCAUGUUGGCCAGGAUGGUCUCCAUCUCUUGACCUUGUGAUCCGCCUGCCUCAGCUCCCAAAGUGCUGGGAUUACAGGUGUGAGCCACCGCGCCCGGCUGCUUUUCCCUCUUUUAAACAGAGAAAGUUUUGUUUGGAAAGGGGAAACGGCACCCUUGCUAAAACUGUAACUUUCGACAUUGUCAUAGACUAUGUUGCAUUGCUGAAACAGAGUAUCACAGACUGGAUAAUUUAUGAACUAAUUUAUUUCUUACAGUUCUGAAGUCUGGGAAGUUCAAGAUCAAGGGGCCGGUGUCUGGUGAGGGCCUUUUUGCUGUGUCAUAACAUGGUGGAGGGCAUCACAUGGCAAGAGGGCAAGAGCGAGCCAGCUCAGGUCUCUCUUCCUCUUUUAAAGCCACCAGUCCCAUCAUGGGGGCCCCGCCCUGAUGACCAUAUCCAAUCCUAAUUACCUCUCGAAAGUCCUACCUCUAAUCAACACAUGAACUUGGGGAUUAAGUUUUUAACACGUGAAACAUAGGGGACCCAUUCUAAUCAUAGCAGACAUGAUUUAUGUUUUACUUUUCCAAUUAUAGGCAUCUUAAAGUACGGAGACCAUCUUUUAUAUUUCUCUGUAUUUUCCACAACAUUUAGCAUAGUCUUAUGUAUUCAGCAAGAACUCAAUUCAACAAAUAUUUAACACUUCAAUGAAUACAUAAAAAUGCAAAGGGCUGCACAUCUGUUAGUAAAAGUAACACAGAAUCUAGACAAAAGUAAACUGAAUGGUUUUUCUUCAUAAUGAAAAAAGUAUUUCUAAAAAAAGCAUUCAGCAGGCUCAGGCUUUUAACUCUUACCAACUUUUUCUGUAAAAUUAUGCUUUUCAAAUUUACCAAAAUGUUAUAUUAAAUAUUAAUAUAUUUUAGCAUGUAAUAGAUAUAUAAUACAUAUAUUUUUAUAAGCUUAGAAAGUACAAUAAAGGCAGAGGCAAUCUAGUUAGAAACUUUCCAAUCACAAACACUAGAAACAAUAUCCGUGUCUUUACUUAUUUAUAUUUAUGUAUUUGUUUUGAGAUAGAGUCUCGCUCUGUCACCCAGGCUAGAGUGCAGUGGUGCGGUCUCGACUUACUGCAACCUCUGCCUCCCAGGUUCAAGCGAUUCUCCUGCCUCAGCCUCCCAAGUUGCUGGGACUACAGAUGUUCACCACUACACCCAGCUUAUUUUUUGUGGAGACGGGUUUCACUAUAUUGGCCAGACUGGUCUCGAACUCCUGAACUCAAGUGAUCUGCCCGCCUUGGCCUCCCAAAGUGCUGGGAUUACAGGCGUGAGCCACCGCGCCCGACUAAUAUCCAUGUCUUUUAAACUACCUAGCAAGUUGCUUUUUGGCCAGACAAAACCUUAGUUGUUGAACUCCAGGGCACCUGUCUCUGAAACAUAUUACUGCUCAUUUUCAUCAUAACAGCAACUGGAAAGUAAUUCAUUUAAUUAAAUGUCCUUUUCUCUUCCCCCCUUCCUAAAAGAGACUACCUUGUAAAAAAUUUGAGGCAGAAACAAAC